GUGCGGGCGAGCGAGCGAGCGAGCGACACCGGUGUACGGUCUAGAAUACACAUGUGGCAAAAUACGCUGGUUUUGACAGAACAGAGGCUGGCAUCUGCGCACCACUUCACCACGUAGGGACUCAACAAAUAAUUAUUCUUCAGAAGAUAAUUCUCUAGUUUCGUAGAACAUUUGCAAGAGUGAGCCUUCCUACAGACUGAGAAUGACCUAGAAGCCACCACUGCUGAGCCCAGCAGAGCAGGAUAUCAUUCUUGUGUGUAAGCAACAAGGUGUGUGACAGAAAACAGGGCUCCAGCUGCACCCGGGUCAACCUGUCAAACAUGGAGGGCCACGUCACACUGUUGCCCCCCCUGCUGCUGCUCCUCUGUAGCCUGUCAGGGGUGUGGGGGUUCCCCUUCGGCCCCGUCCUUGACAUGGACGUCAACCCCAGGACCACAGUGUUCUCCCAAGGCCUGUUAGGUUGCCAGCGUUUCAGCAGCCCAUCUCAAAACUACAGCACACUGCUCCUGGAGGAGGACAAUGGGGUGCUAUACGUGGGGGCCAGGGGGGCUCUCUAUGCCCUGGACACCACCAACAUCUCCACGCCCGGUAACCUCACGAUUGACUGGGAAGCUUCGGCCGAGCAGAUGAAACAGUGUCUCAACAAAGGAAAAGACAAUCAGACAGAGUGUUACAAUCACAUCCGCAUCCUACAGAGGUACAAUGAGACUCACCUGUACGUCUGUGGCACGCACGCCUUCAGGCCCCUCUGUGCCUACAUAGAUGUGGAGCGCUUCAGUUUCUCCUCUGGCUUCGAGGAGGGCAGGGACAGGUGUCCCUACGACCCAGCCAAGGGCUACACCAGCCUCCUUGUGGACGGUGAGAUGUUCUCAGCGUCCCAGUAUGAGUUCCGCAGCUCUCCGGACGUUCGUCGGAACUUCCCCUUCCCCACUCUGAGGACAGAGGAGGCUCCGACCAGGUGGCUGCUGGAGGCGGACUUUGUGGGCUCGGCGCUGCUGAAGGAGAGUGUCAACAGCUCGAUCGGCGACGACGACAAGAUCUACUUCUUCUUCACGGAGAGGAGCCAGGAGCAGAUGGCCUACCCCAGCCAGACCAGGGUGGCACGGGUUGCCCGCGUCUGCAAGGGUGACUGGGGCGGCCAGAGGACCUUGCAGAGGAAGUGGACGUCCUUCCUGAAGGCUAGACUGGUGUGCUCCGUUCCUGACUACGAGCUCCACCUGAAUGUGCUGCGUAGCGUCUUCGUACUGGAGGGCCCAGACGUACACAGCACCGUCUUCUACGGGAUCUUUGGCCUGGAAUGGAAAAAUGUCAAGGUGUCUGCGGUGUGCCAGUACUCCUUCACAGAUAUUCAGAGGGCCUUCGAGGGGCCUUACAUGGAGGUGCAGGAUUCCAAAUGGAGGGAAUAUAGAGGGAAGGUUCCGGUACCAAGACCUGGCUCGUGUAUCACAAACAUACACCGGUCCCAGGGCAUCAACUCGUCCCGUGACCUCCCAGACAACGUGUUGGCCUUUGCGAGGCGCCACCCCCUGAUGUCUACACAGGUCCACCCCAUAGGAGGGCGACCCCUACUAUUCAAGAGAAGUGUCAAUUACGUCAAGAUGGCCGUGCACCGGGUGGCAGCUCUGGACGGACACGUCUACACCGUGCUCUUCUUGGGAACUGAUGAGGGCUGGCUGCACAGGGCUGUGGAGGUCAGAGGUCAAAUGCACAUCAUAGAGGAGCUGCAGCUUUUUGAGAACCCUCAGCCUGUAGACAGCAUGGUCAUCUCCCAGACACAGGGAAGUGUCUAUGUGGGCUCCAACUCUGCAGUGCUCCAGGUCCCCUUGUCCUCCUGCCAGCGCUACACGUCCUGUUUCGACUGUGUGUUUGCCCGGGACCCCUACUGUGGCUGGGACGGGACGCUGUGUGUGGAAAUAUCCUCACGCACAAACAGCUCCAAUCUAACCCAGGAUAUACAGAAAGGCAACAGAGGCUGUGACAACAGCACAGGAGCUGUAGUCCACCGCAGGCGUACGGUGAUGUCUGGGGACGACAUCCUCCUCCAGUGCGAGCUGCACUCCAACCUGGCCACGCCGCACUGGACCCUGGAUGGGCACGAGCUCCAGGGCUAUGACCUCGACUCGGGCCACCGCGUGGGCACCGACGGCCUGCUCCUCAUAGGCGCCCGGGCCGACCAGAGUGGAGACUACCACUGCUACGCCGUGGAGAACGACGUGUGGGUGCCAGUGAGGCUGUACACGGUGAAGGUGCACCCUGACCUGCCCUUCCCUGUGGGGCCAACAGUCACGACGAACACUUUAUCAACCACCGCCACUACCGCCACUACCGCCCCACCAAGCCCUUCUCUUACUCCCAGCAGCCCCACCGAGCAGCCCCUGCCCUCCCCACCUGCUCCCCUCCCCUUUGGACCCGAGUUCCAGACCUACAGGCACAUGGAGGCCAUGUAUAUCUCCCUGGUGGCUGUGCUGGGCGGGCUGUGCCUGGUGCUGACCAUAGUGUUGCUCUACGUCAGCUUCUGCAAACGAGCGCCCUACCAGGGCCGCAAGUACUCCCAGGAGGGGCUGCCCGAGUCAGGGGCCGCAGCCGAGAGGAAGAAGAGCUCCCAUUCCCAUCUGGAGCUCAAGACCAUGUCCAUCCACUGCAACGGCAGGCAGGACAGCAAGCGAGGACGGCGCUCCCUGUCGGCUUCUAACGUGGAAGACGUGUGCGACGGCUUCCUUCAGAUUGUGCCCGGGGGAGGGUCUCCGGGGAAGUCGCCGGCCCCUCCCGCCCCGCCUCUCCCAAUGCCGCCGCCCCUGCCCUCCUCGGCGUACGCAUCGUCAGAGUACGCCAACGGGAUGUCGGCGACAUUACCCAGUGUCCUUCGCAAGAUGAACGGCAACAGUUACGUGCUGCUGAGGCAGACGGCGGACCCCGAGGGGAGCACGUCUCCCCUCUACCACUCGUUCACCGAAGAGCUCAACCGCAUCCUAGAGAAGAGGAAGCACACACAAAUGGACCCCCAGCUGCCAGACGAGAGCUCUGUCUAGCCCCCCCCCCCAUCACUUUCCCAUUGAUCUGUUUAUUGGUUUAACCCAACUACCCCAGAGUUCCCCCAAGAGGCAGGGAGGUCAAACUUUUGUAUUAUACUGCUGCUGUUUACCCAGUGUCAAAGCAACCUGUGGGAGUAUCCAUACCUAAAACUCAAUGUGCAGCUUCCUGUGACUCGAGAUAGGUGCCCCACGUAAUUUCACUACUGAACAUUGGAGUAAAGAAGACUUAAAGAAGACAAACUGGAGCAGUCAUUGAUAUAGUCAUGGUAACCAUUUUGGACACACAUUGUACUAUUACAUGGACCCUUUGAUUGACUUUCAAGGACUUAAGGUCACAUACAUGAUACAUAUACACAAGUUAGUUACAAUCCUACCUCAGAUCCUUACCCUAUUGGGAAAGUAGGGUCAGUGAUGGUCUGGUCAGCAGACACACUGACAGCGAGUGCUGUGGUGUAUCGUCGGACACGGGACGAUGAGAGCCCAGGUCAUAUGACCAACGACCAUGAAGUGAGAUGGUGAUGAACGUAAGACUGUGAGGAACUACCAAAUCCGGUAUGAACAUUAUAGACCAUCGUCUAAACUAUUGAGUUUGGAGAACAAUGGGUACGGUAGUUUAGUGCCAUACACGUCUAAGAUGGCUCUUAUUGACCCAGGCCUACAGAACUUCAUAUGAGAGCAAAUAUGGUUGGACAAAUAAUACAUUUCAGUCAUAACUUAAUACCACACACUUAUCUUCGUUUUCUUUUGUGCUUAUGUAAAUAGCAAUAGUAUCGCGUGGCAGCCAUCAGUAGCAACCUGUUGAAAUAAUGCCAGUUGAAAUGGUUGCACCGAAACCAUAUUGAAAUGGAACUUUUUAGCAUCUUUGUGUUGUUAGCGUCGGACUGUGUCAAAGGGGGAAAGCAGUAUGGAUAGACGGCAGGUUUUAUCUAAGCUUGGCGGGAUGAAGACUAUCAUUAAAGAAUGAAGACAAUCGUUAAUGACUGAUCUCUGGUCAGAUUUGAUCAGAGAAACUGAGUGAUGAUGAUGUUGAUGAUGGAUCUGAUUGCCAGAGAUGUGUGAGCCCAACAGGAGACCAGAAGGCAAAGAUAUGCAAGAAGCCAGAUCACAUUGAUCUCAGAAGAGAUGGAGAAGAUGGAUGGAAGGAGUGUGUGAGGAACCCUGAUGAUCUGAGCCAAUGACUGCUCAAAAUACACAGAAGGACGAUCAGCACGUGAAAUCUCCAAUGGCAGGGGACUUGGAUAUGGUUAUUGUAGUGUGCUUACUACUUAUGGUCAAUUGGAAAAUAUGCUGGCUACUACAGUCAAAUACGCACCUCCAGUAUGCCCCCAUAAACACUGUGGAACACUUAUUUCAACAAACAUACUCGCUCACGUCACACUGUACAGACAUGACAACAUUCAAAUGGAGGUUUAGACAAAGGCCCAGUGCAGCCGGUUUUAUCUCAAUAUCAAAUCAUUUCUAGGUAACAAUGAAGUACCUUACUGUGAUUGUUUUCAGUCAAAACAAUCGAAAAGAAACAAAAAUAGCUUCUUAGCAAAGUGCAAUUUCUCAAGCAAGAAUGUUGCUAUGACUCUCGGAGUGGUCUAAGUGGGGAGGGGAAAACUAGCUGUUAUUGGCAGAGAGGUUUGGAACUCUUUCCUAUUGGUCUAUUAACUAUGAUGUCACCAGGCAGGCCAAAACUCCAUCCCACCAAAAAAGGCUGAAAACUCAGGCAGGCUUUUCAAACAGCUCUUACACUAAAAGGGAAUUAUCAUCAAUUUCGCAGUUUUAUUCCAACCUCAGUGUGGAAAUACAGUAUAAAUAAAACACAGAAAAAUUGAAUUAUUGACUGCACUGGGCCUUUAACUCCACAUCACCUACAGAAUACAUUUGAGUGAACAAUGACUAAAAGAUUAAUUUGCGUUAUACCUCUUUCGAGGACUUUUCUUGCUCUGUACAUAAGGAGAUUCAGUAUACCCUUGUAAAGUGUUACAUCAAUGUGUUACAUCCAUGUUGUGUUGUUUUCUGGUUCGAUGUAGAUAUGACUACUACUUCACAAUCUACUUAGUAUUUUAUCAGCCAUGUAAUUGGCCAUGUCAUGCGUAAUUCUUUGGGCAUCAUUGCACUUGAGGAGAAAAUACAAUUCUCAUACAAGUACCAGUCAAAAGUUUGGACACACCUACUCAUUCCAGGGUCUUUCUUUAUUUUUAC